rnacentral:rRNA from 1 species
GACGAACGCUGGCGGCGUGCUUAACACAUGCAAGUCGAACGGAAAGGCCCUGCUUUUGUGGGGUGCUCGAGUGGCGAACGGGUGAGUAACACGUGAGUAACCUGCCCUUGACUUUGGGAUAACUUCAGGAGACUGGGGCUAAUACCGGCUAGGAGCUCCUGCUGCAUGGUGGGGGUUGGAAAGUUUCGGCGGUUGGGGAUGGACUCGCGGCUUAUCAGCUUGUUGGUGGGGUAGUGGCUUACCAAGGCUUUGACGGGUAGCCGGCCUGAGAGGGUGACCGGCCACAUUGGGACUGAGAUACGGCCCAGACUCCUACGGGAGGCAGCAGUGGGGAAUAUUGCACAAUGGGCGGAAGCCUGAUGCAGCAACGCCGCGUGCGGGAUGACGGCCUUCGGGUUGUAAACCACUUUCGCCUGUGACGAAGCGUGAGUGACGGUAAUGGGUAAAGAAGCACCGGCUAACUACGUG